AAUUCUUACAGUUGAGAACCGUUACUUGACUGGUACCUCCAGCCCACCAGCAGGCAAUGAUGGCAUCAGACUAGAGGAUCACCAGUAAAUCAUUGUAAACAAGCAUGGAAAGAGAGAAAGUCCACUUUAAGCGAUGGAAAAUCAGCCCCAAUUCUGAAGGAACAACCAUGAACAGAUGAUUUAAGGAGAAUCAAUUCUUUGCACUUUGCAGGAGGAGCCAACAGAGUGAGAUGAAGGGGACAACUUCAGAUACUCAGGCAGAAGCAUAAGUCCCCACCUGCUGACCUGCUGCCUGCUAUCUUAACACGAAUUCUUCAUCUGAAUCGAUGAGCUUUUCACAGAGUUCCAAACUAAGGAAUCCAGGAGUGGCCAAUCCAGAGAUUCAUUCCUUAUCUUUGACGAACAUCUGAACUCCUGGCUCAUCCUGUGGAAUUCAGGCCAUACAGGAGAUCAAGGUCAUUUGCUUUGGGUUAAAUGAAUGUUGCCAGGUGGAGGUUGCUAGAGGGAGGGUGCUAUGUGAAAGUGCUGUAUAAACUGCUUGCUUUUCACAAACAGUAGUGAUUCUUUAUCCUGUCCAGCCUGCCACAACUGGACCAUCCUGUAUGUAAGUCCCCUUAAUAAAUCCUGUGUCUCAUUCACUGGCUUCAAGUCUCUUCCUGGGCCUCUUGAACGUGGUGCCACCUGUAUUGAAGUCAACAGAAGUUCAGCACAACACAGGUCAAAAUGAAGAUUCU
rnacentral:lncRNA from 1 species